rnacentral:lncRNA from 1 species
CAGCCAAUCAGAGGUAACGCAGGCCACGUUCAGCUCGCGAAGUGAAAUGCCCGCGCGUCGUUCUUCCGGGACUGAAGGCAGUGAGCUGCUCAACAGACAGAGAAAAUCAGGAGAAAAACCGAGUUAAACUGUGGAAAAGAGGAAUAGGAAACCAGCGCCCUUACCUGCUGGAAAUCUGGAGCCAAGUGACGACCCAAAGGAGACGAGUCACGUCGGUAAGACUGUUGUUUAUCUGAAAAUAAAGCCCGUUAGCACUAACCGUCGUCCUCCAUGCUAAUGCUAGCUCUGUAUCUAUCAGGCGAACUACUUACCGUCCAUCUGGAGAUCCGCGGCAGCUCCAACAUCGGCGGGCUCGGUUUUGAAAUACAGAGCAAGGGUGAGAAAGUGUCUCUUUAGCUUUUCUGAUACUUUUCUCUGUUAUUUUUCAGUGUACUGAAAGAGAGCAGGGGUGAUGUAAAAGGUUAUGAGAGUGAACCGAAGUGAAUAAUGGUGAAAUAUUUUGAACAUGUGAGUAUUGUGUCAGUUGUUUUAUGCUGAGAUAGGAAUAUAAAAGGGAGGUUUUGUUUAUUUUCUCAAUACCAGUUUAAAGGGAAAAGAGAGUGAUUUGAUAAGUCACAUGAUGAGAGUGAAACAAUAUUUUGUGAUGUACAAACUACUGAAGCAAUUUAUUUCAUUUCAACUGUCAGUUUAAAGCUACUUGGUGCAGUGUUCCGCCUACAUUUAUGAAAUAUGUGCACCGCUACUGAAAUUUCACAUGAUCAUUGUUAUCAAUUAUUAUCAUUACCUCGCGCUGUGUGAGCACAACAUACGAUGUCAUUUCCGACUUGUUUUGAGCCAUCAAAAAGCGCAUCAAAUACUGUCGGAUCUUCUUCCAUCAUCAGUAAUAAAGCCUAUUACUGAAGCCUAUAGCAGCUUAAAAAGGACCUGGUCAAAGCCUGUAGAAGCAUGACUAUGAACUUGUACAAGUCAAAACCGUCCCUGACCACAAAAGGCAAAAAGGGUUCAAGUUGACUUUUUUCAAAGGAGUAGGGCUUGACUAUUGAAGGCUCUACCUCCCAUAAUACUUUUGGAGACUGCAGCUUCUCUGGAGCAGGCCUGUUUUCUGCAUCUUGUGUUUUAGUUGAUUGCCUCAUUGAGGUGGGUCAUCAUCACAAUGCUACUUUCAGCCUUUACUCAGAUUUGUGUUUGCUCAUUUCGGCUUCUUUGAGUUAACUAAUGACUGACGCCUGUAGUACGCACAAAAUGCAGCGUAUUGGCUGUCUUCCCUUUUUUCAUGAUGCAGCAGAUCCUCAAAAGUAUUGAACUUUGCUUGGCAGUACAUUAGGGAUGUUUUUCUGUCGGUGAAAACAACAACUUCCUCCACAAUGACGUUGACAUAUAUUUAUAUAUGUAUGUGUUGCAAGCACAUUGCAUUGUUUCUGUAUUUCAAUUGGUUAAAACUGGGGCGAGGAUUGUUCAAAACUAGGACACGUUAGUGUUUUAGGUUCUUUUUGGGACUUGGGAGCUUGAAAAUGGGACAUAUGGUCUUCUUGAGUUAAUCUUACAACACGCAAUGUCUUGAUUUAAAAACCCAGCAGAGUCUGUAGUCAGAAAUGUUGUGGGGUGUAAACAUUAAUAUCUGACUCUUAACUGUUGCUGCAAAGUUGCAUGAAUGUACCAGAUCAUGUCCAAGCACAGGUUUUGAACAUCCAUGACGUCUGCUGCUUUUGAUCAUGCUCUAUGCAGGUUUUUCUGACUCGUUUAAACCAGUUUAAGACUGACAUUAGAGAAUUGAUCACAGAUGAACUUAAUGUACCGACUUGUAUUUUCUCUUUACAGCUUGUGGCAAUGAGUUGGAAUUAGAAAUGCAACAAAUGAAGAAAAUAAUUUGCAUCCUGAGACUGAAACUUUUUGACCUUUGAGUAUUUUCUGUGCCCCAGGACAGGAUUUUCCUUGCAGGCAGGAUUGAUCUGUAAUCUCACCUCAUCAACUUCUUCAGUAAAGGUCACUCUGGUAUUCUGAGCAGAAGUAUCCAAACCCACACAGAUGCUUUCUUGCCAAAUUUCCCCUGGUUUCGUUUGCAUCCUUGCUGAGCUGGAAACUUUUGUUCACUUUGGAGAAACUCUUGACGAGAGGUGAAAGGGACAGAACGGCCCUUGGGGACGAGAUCUGUUUCUCCAGAUUCCUUCAUCUCAACCUGCAACAAACAGUGACGGAGAGCUGACACUGCAGCCUCUCAGUCUGACCGAGUCUGCGUCUCAUGUCACGUUGAGUUGUUCUUUUCUGAACAGACUGGGCAUGAACGUACAUUUCUCUGCUUUAAGAAACUGAAAGUCCUCCUCAUACAAAGAUGAAUUUUCUUCAAUUUUUUAGCUGCAUACCUUGAACACAGUGCUAACUGUUUUGGAGUUUAUUUUUAGAGGCCAAAUUCUCAUUGCAAAACAAGUAAGAAAGAGUGUUUUUGUUUUUGAUUAUACCCAUGAACGUACCAGAAAGAACUGGCUUAAAACACAUGACUUUAAACCACGGUUAAGUAAGAAAUACAGUGCCUUAUUUUUGAGUUCCAAGAUUCAAAAUGUCACACUGAUUUUAACCAAGAAAUAAGAUAAUUUAAUGUCCGUACAGCUUGUACAAAGUGGAGACAGAGGUUGUAUUCAGCCUCUAAAUAUAUUUCUGAGAGUGGGCUUUGCAGCUUGUGGAACCUGCUCUUUCUUGUGGGUUUUAUGUUUGGAUCCCUGCCCGAGCUUUGUAAAACACGUCCAACUGUUCGUCAUCCAAACACGCCGCGCCGUGCCAAAGAUGGACCUCGACAAGCCCAGAAAAACAAACUGAAACAGAAAACUCAAUUAACUGUUUUCUUUUUCCCAAGAUCUUCCCCAGCCAGUGAGGGAAAAUAAGGCUGCACUUCCUGCUCCGUCUUCCUCUCUGCUGCUUUUAUUUUCUGCUAAGCCGUUUCAGUCAGAGGACAUCAAAGGAGAGCAGCAUCCGUCAGAGCAGCUCGGACUCUAAUCUGCCUCUUUACACUCUCUGAGGACUUGAUGUGACAGCAGCUUGGCGUCCUGCAGGAGGAUUCCCCACAGAGACUCCCUCAUUGUCUCCUCUUAUACUCCCUGAAACAUUUUUGAUACAGAAAUGAGCUGUGGCACGAAGAAGCAGAAAAGACAGCUGAAAACUUAAGAUGAGACAAGUAAAGUAGAUCGUUAAAAGUGAUGUGAGCGAUGAUGUUUGGUUAUGUAAAUUUCAGAUUCAGACAUAGGCCUUGUCCAAAUGGAAAUGAAUUAAAGAGUAAAUGCAGUUUUUUUUUUUGUCAUUGCCGUUUUAUCCACAUAGAAAUUACGCUUCGGGUGCCAAACUUACAGUUUCAUUUCCAUGUAGAUGCAUAUUUGUGCUCGGGCUGCCAGAUCGGCUCGGGGCCUUACGCCUGUUGAUGACAUUACACUAAAUGAUUGGCUGGAAGUUGGUUCAGAUGACAUAGAAGAUUGUGGUUGGUCUGGACAUUAUUGAAGUGGUUUUCGCUGUAUUAGGUUUCAUGGGAUUGUUGAAUUUUAUGAAGCAAUCUAUUGCUACUUAUCAAAGAGGACUUAAGACAGCCGGACAACCGCAUCUUUUAGGUCGCCAAAGGAAAUGUGGAAUAAAAGCAAAACUAUCUAUUGCUAAACUGAGAUCUUGCGUUUAUCUUGUUUUUCUUUUUCCUUUACAAAAGUUAAAAUAUACAAUUAAAGUGAUCUAAAAAUUACAGUAGAGUAAGUUGUAAUUCUCUGUAUCAUAUGGAGAGAAAGUUUCAAGUUCAAUUGAAUGAACAAAGAGAAAUAAAGAAAACCUCAAAAGGGACUUUUAGCCGAGCACAUUUGACUCAUUAAAUGGAGUGCAAUGUGGUUUGUCCGAUCUGGUACCUACAAUGGCACAAAAUCUUUAUUUGCGGGAUCUGUACUCUUUCUCUUUCUUUUGGCGCAUUCCUUGGGCAGCAUUACGGCGCCACACACUGGCUUGGCAUAUGCACUACAUCGUUUCCAGUGGUUUUCAGAGGUUUCAUGUUUACGCAGAUAUUUCGUGUGGACAAGGCUGCAGAGUAGAAGGUCUCUUUAAUUGCCUAAAAGGGUUUUAAUCAGCAAUGACCAGGCCACUACGCACUAUCCCACUCAUCACUCAAUCAACCAAAGCAAGCCUGAGUUCUGGGAGUUUUAUGUUUUUAGGGGGGAAAUGGGGAACUUUGUACUCUGUAGGAUGUGAUGGUGUCCGAUCAUUGAGAGGAAAAAUUUUACAUUUUUUCAGACAAUGUUUGAAUUUUCUUUGUCUAAAACUGUAGAGUCUCAGAGUGGCUCAGCUCCCAGCGUGGAUGAUGUGUUUGGUUUUUGCUGAGGGCCUCUGGAGGAUCCUCAUGAGACAGAGGAGAAACGGAGGAGGUCUGGAGUUGACCUCCCCUUGAUGCUAAAGACCUUCACCCGCUGUGUGGGUGAGCCUGCAUGUGUCAGAGCAUCAAUCAGCCCACAAGAAGACGCUCUGAGUUAUGCAACAAAAUGCUCUUACUUGAUAUGAAAUCUGUGUGUUUGUCAUGCAUCUCCAUCUUGAGAACACCCAGUCCUACAAAUCAAUCAAAACUGUGAGGGGAUAACAACAACAACCUCACCAGGAUAAAGCAUGUGCUCUUCUACCCGAGUAAAUAAAAGGACAUAUGUACUUGGCUGCCUUAGCUCACGUGUUUGGAUCUUCAUUAGAUCACCAGAACAACAAAAGACCUGAAGGCUCAGAGGCGGGUGACUCACGAGAGCGCUGGAAAUUACCUCAGUGUGUAGGGAGCAUGAACGCACCUCAGAGGAAAUUUGCAUUACACCCUCCUCUGUGAUUGUACCCGCUCAGCAGCCCGUCACAUAUUCUUACUCAUCUGAUUUUAAAGAGGGCGGUUAAACAUCACCCGCUGACACCAGAGGAGUGACAGGGCCACUUAAUUCAGAGAUGCAUUACCUCGAGCAGGGCAGGUUAAUGCACCUCCUGAGGAUUGGGAGUUCAGUCCACAGCUUCUCCUUAUUGAUCAGGAACAGUUAACAUCCAUCCCGCCGCGUCCUCGUCCCCUCUGAGGCUCAAUAAAGCUCCUCCACUAAUCUCAUCGGUGACAACACAUGAUACCUCAGUGAAUGACUGUCGGCUGUGAUGGAUCGUAUGUCCGCGUCCUGACACAGAGGCGCUGGCUGCGGUGUGCGCUGCAUGUUUGUCUGUGAAGGACGGUCGGCUGUGCGGCCUCGGGAGGUCGAGCGACAGAUGAUUUAUCAAAGUCCUGGAGGGACUUUCCCUGCUCGCUGCAUCUGAUGGAUCAGUGAAAUAUGUCGCUCUCACUGACAGGACAUUUUGUAUCAGAGAAUUUAUCCUGCCUCAUCUGAGUCAAUUUUUACAGGGAAAUGAAAAAGCAGUCUUUCAGAGAGAUAAAAUGAGUCUGAGAGUAUAAAGUGUAGAAGAAAAACAGUUCAAAGAAGACCUAUUAUACUGAACUGUACUUGAAUACAUCGAACCGCAGCAAAGUUUCAUAACGUGACAUAUGUGAAUGGGAGAAUGAUCCUGAAUGAUGUUACCCAGGUUUCCUGAAUGCCUCGUUUUGAGACAUGGCCAUAAUCUGAUGUCAAUUUGUGCCCACUUGCCCACCAUAGACAUAGACAAUAUAUGUCUAUGUUGAUGCCUCAUAGACUUGCGCUGCCUAUUGGAGCUGAUGUAUCAGCGCGGCUGCCAUCUUGGAUGGGUACCCCAAGUGCCCCAAGAGCAUUUAUGGUGCGUCCCAUUUACCUUGGAAGUCGGAGCUGGGAAUGACGUCACACCAGAGUUAUCAGCGUUUCAGUUACAAAGUUGGAAAAAAGUCGCCAACGACCAAAAACUGAAGCAGAAACACGAUUGGUACAUCUACAAAAGAUGUUCUUGCGCCUGCCUUGUCCGAAUUUAAACAACUUCUGGACAAAUAUGCAGUCCUUCUGCAACCUGCAAACACGGUGGAUGAAGAGGACGCGGGCGAAGAGGAACAAGGCGCAGAAGGUAGCCUAUUUUUCCUCAUUACAGGAGCUUUUACAACCAGUGCAGCCAUCUUUAAAUGUCAACUGGGGGGUUGUGUGGAUUGUCCGACCCCGUGGGUUGUUCCAGUUGAAAGUUCCAACUCGGAGCUCGGGAAUUCCUACUGGGGAAGGUAGGAAUGCCCAACUACCUCCAUUGUAACUCCCCAAAUUUUUUUCAGAUUUUUUUACAUGCUUUGGUUUGUAACUAACAGCAGAGAUGUACGGAUGAUUCCGGAUGCUGUCACACAUUAAAUAUGAAGAAAUAUAUAUUUUUUCAAUCUUACUUGUGCAACGUAAUCUUUGGUGAUCUGAUUUCAACACUGCGCUGGUAAGUGCAGUCGUAGGCUGCACAAAAAAACGGGCAUAGUGCUUGUUCUCCGUUGACUUCGGUUGGCUCUGGUGCGAGCCAAAUGUGAGGGGACCCAUCCAAUGUGGUGGUUAUGCUGGAUUACGCUCCAGCACGGAAUGAAGCAUCUACUUAGGUCUAUGGGGGCACUCAGCAACUCCUCCAAACUCAUGCCCACCCGGAAACUGGAUGGACGUGUUCCCACUUGUGUUCUUCUUCUGCUCUUUAAACCUCAACAACUAUCAUUUUUCACCAGGCCUGAUGAGUACGGUGAAUUUUUGGGAGUUUUGGAGCAUGCUGGGGCUUCCAAAUGAGGGAUUUAUAUCAGAUAUCAAAGAAAGAAAGAAAGACCGAACAAGAAUAAUAAUAACCUUUAGGGUUUGAGUAGGGUCCUUUCACUCGAUGAAGUGUCAGGGUAUUAAUUAAAGAAAGAUUUAGUCAAUAAUUAUCAGAAUACAUUGAGGCCGAGCCCUCAAAGAUGAACAUAAACUCAGAUUGACUACAACAUGUUCCUGGACCUGCUCAUGCUGGGAAGAGUCUUGCCAGCCCUCUUGGACCCUCCCUCCAAAGACCCAUCCUUGACUUUGAGUAACACCCUCGGGGUUGAUCUCAUCAGAUUAUCCGAUGAUGAAGACCAAACCUGAUAACGAAAUCCCUCUGUAAAUCUGUCUGAUGAGAAUACGCACUCUGCUCUCUGGCUCUGAGGUUAAAAAUAACCUCAUGUUUAAUCCGUCAGAGCUGAAAUCAAUCAGGAGUAAUUUGAGACAGAAAACAGGAGUUCAGGUGGAGGCAGCUGGAGUCUAAUUAAAUCAGCCCGUUUGAUGAGGCGUUUUAACGACACCAUGAGCUGGAAAUCAGUGCGAUUUAAGUGAGAAAACACAACAGAAGAGAGAACCCGAUUAUACUGAAUUCUCCCUGUUAGACUAUCGAUCCUCUCUGUCCGACACUCGCCCUCCUUCUGUUCCUCGGCUCAGAGCUCAGGUGUUUUUACAAAAUACCACACAGGGCUCACAGAGGUUGAGCCAAGCCUCAAGGCCUCUCUGGUGCGCCGCCUCCUGGCCCCCAGACCCCUGGGCGAUUCUCGACCCGAACCAGGGAGGACGACAGAUGGCUGACUCCCCACAACAACACGCAGGCUGCAGCUAAAUGCCAAACGUCCUCCUGCACAGACGCUGUCAGAGCUUCAGACGGGGCGAAGGAGAGUCCCGAGGCGUUUUCAUAUUCAGGUUAACGCUCAGGAAGGAGCGGACGGAGUGGUCAGCAGGUGAUCUUACAAAACGCAAGAAACUCCUGAGUUACCCUCAGUUUAUCAUCUAUCUGCGCAUUUUGGUCAUGUUGCUCAUGGAGAAAAAUAGGCACGCUUUCUGUUCUCUGGAUUUUUGGCAUGUGACACCAACAUGAGAUGUGCCGGCGGUCUGAACGCUCUAAUCUGUUAACAUGCUUACAGAAAAUGAAAACAAACCCAAUCCACUGCUGUCAGGGAUCCAGCACGCUUGCAGUCUGAAGCAGCCAUCAAAGAUCUGGUCCUUUCUCAUCCAUGUUCAUCCAAACAGCAAAUUGUGAGAUGUCAGUGUUUGGAAAUCAAAAUGCUUCGGCUGCACGAUUUCAGAUCCUGGACCUCGAAAAUUAGGGAACUAGGUCAGAAGAUCCUGGUACCUUUUAAACACCUUAACCAUCAUGGAAGCCAACUAUUCAUCUUCAGAGUGGAUCCCUCCAGCUAAAAUCAAUUAUAAUGUCAGGUUUUUUUUGUGAGUAAAUAACUGGUAGCAGCGCUCCAGCAGGCUCUGCUGAGCUGGUCGCUACCCUCAUUGUUGAUCUGUUUUGCAGCUCACUGUGCCAAACGCUUCUCUCGAACACACGCUGGAGACACAACCGGCCUGAAAAUAGAAAAAUGUCAGCCGGUUUCCUUUCAUUAACCACUGUGGAAGAUCUGUCAGCAUGUGAAGGUCUGAAGACUUCAGCUGGAUCUCACAAGAGCAGAACUUCUCCCCCACACACACAGAAACACACACUCUCACUAUAGAUGGAGAUUAUGCUCAUGAAUCCUCAGAGGUGCCGCACUGUUGCUGAGCUGAGAGGCUUAAAUCUGAGGUGAUGAAACACAAACACAAAACAGACACAGAAACCAUUGAUGCCCGGACAUACACAACGACUGUAUACACAACACAGACACACUCACACAAGGACCAACAUACUGCAAGACACUGGUUUGUGCAGAUUGAACACUUUCAGUCAUGACAAUUAGGGCUACAAAUUUAACCUUUUAAUCCAUUUAAUGUGAGCGAAUUCCAUUUAUCAAUAUAUCUGGUCUUGAAAUUUGAUAAUUGUUUCUUUUGUCUUAUUUCUAUAAAAAAAAAAAGUAAUUUUGGAGAAAGUAGAAGCUACUGUCUUCUGACAAGGACAUGACAGUGUUGUAGGACACGCCCACCUAGCAGGUCUUUCAAGCACACUCCCACCUGGAGUGUCUGUCAAACCCACAGACUGUAUAUACUAUGGACAACUUGGUUCCACCUUCCGCCAGUAUAUGGAUUUGAAGCCAAAAAGCUCUCGGUAUUUCCGGGUUUUUUGGUAGCGUUGUACGCAUUUGGCGGGAGAGUUGUUGUGAUGAGGCUCUGCUCAAACAGCGUAUCUUGCGGAUGAGCUACCCUUGGUUUUUUCCUCCUCUCUGCUUUUUGUUGAUUUGGUCUGUCUUUGGAAGUUUCUCUAAUGGUUCUUUUGGUUGUGAGGUAAAGUCUUAGCCAAAGCUGUGUAAAAAGUAACACCCACAGCUGUGUCUACGUUUCUCUCAGUGGGAGAGAAGCCAAAACAAAAUGCUUGAAACGAGGGCUUUCAUAGUGUAAGUUAAGUAAAUAAGAAGUUUGUUUUUUUAUUAUUUAACCUGCAGGUUAGAUAAAGUUUCCUGUAGAAUAAUGUAACUUCUCACAUUUCAAAAACUCCCUGAUAUGACUCUUAAAGCAAGAAAACAAAUAGCUCCAGGCAGCAGCAGCAGCAGAGUCCAUAUGCCCUUAAACACUGUAUACAUAAUUCAUACUUAAUACAUAAACAUUUGACUGAGCUGACUUCCCAUGUGGAAAAAUACAUUUCCAUUUUCUGAGAAUCCUGAGACACAUUUAUGGAUUUGAAUUUGCAAACGGAGUAAUUCUCCACUUUUCAGCGUCACAUUCAUCCAUAAUAAUGCUGCAAAAUCCUGAAUUCACUGUAACAAAUAUCCAGAGGAUUUUUAAUAAAACCUCCUCCAGACAGAGACGGAGAGAAAAUGAAGAGAAGUCAAAUCUGUGCAGAAAAACAUCAAAGAAAGACAUUUUUACUUCAAAGAGGAGCAGCAUUUGCAUAUUUCCUCUCUGGAGUCUUUUCUUUCUGUGUGACAGCGUCUGUGACACACUGACUCCUUCAGAGGAGGGAAGCGACUCGGUCAUUAACAGCUGCUGAUGUUCAAACAGCUGGAUCGACUUCUCCUGCUGUGUUACAGAUUCAACUCUUGAUAAAACAGCUGCAGACUGUGCAGAUUAAAACAGAUCUGCUCUACUGUCAAAGAAGAGGCGGCUUUUCUUUAACUUUAGAGCCACCUGAGGAACUAAAACUCUCACUAAUCCUACCAAACAGCAAAUUCAAUCAAUAAUAAGAUACAUUUAUCAAGUGGGAUGUUGCCUAAUACAAGAUUUACAAUGCCGGGUUUAUUAAGCAUUGUUUCACUAGAGUCCCAAAGGUGUUCAACAACCUAAUUUCAACAGGGUUCGAUUUGUAGCUUUGUAUUUCACUGUCCUUUUUAUUAUAAUAACUCCAACAAUUAUUUAAAUGCAAUUGGACUUCUUUGCAUUUUUUUCACCCCUUCCCUCUCCUUUCAUUUUGCACCCCUGUGGAAAAGGCGUGUGUCUAUUCUUCAGCUUCAGUUAUACUUAUCUGCUCCUCAUAGCGUUUUAAUAUCUUCUGUUAACUAAUCAGCAGUUAUGCAAAAUGUGCACAGUAUGUGAUGCUCAUUUCCAUGCAUGGCAAGGUUAUGCCAACUUACAUCCUACACAUUUGAUCGACCUAUUUGGAUAUUUGCAUGAAGGUACAGGGAGAUAGUGGAUCCUAGUGUUUUAUUCUCUUUAUUUCCUGGUCUAAAAAACAAACAUACUUUUAUUUUGACAGGUAAUGUUUUGUCAGAUGACCCUCUUACUUUGCAUAAGCUGUUACCUGCUAAAUAGGCGUGAGGACGCAGCUCACCAUGUAUAGAAAUAUUGAUCUGACGUUCUCCACUUGGUCAAAGAAUGGUUAUAUUAUUGCAGAUUUAAUUACACCUGCUGCAGAUCACAUGAAACAAUAUAAAAAUUAUCAAUAAAAAUCCAUUUAGAGGGUCAUUGUUUUCUUUCUCUGUCUGAUUCUUGAGUCCCGGACUGGUCCGACCUCUUGACAGCACUAACCAGGUGUUUGCAUGUAAACGGCUUGCGUUGUCUUUCGAGCGUUAGCAUUAGCCCCGCUGCGCUGUAGCCUCGAGUUUCACUUCAUUUACCAGCGGCUCAAACUUCAAAGCGAGCUCGUCAUCACAUCCAGUAAAAGCUAAUCCUCCACACAAACAGCUGUCUGUCAGAGCCCACAGCCCACAGUCCCUCGCAGAGUCUGUAAAAACCCUGAACAUCAGAAACCUGCACAGCAGUUCCGAGGAAGCUAAUGGGUAAAAAGUAACCUGAGAUCUGGAAGCUUCUCUGCCUCCUUCAGGGUUUUGUGGUUUCAGUUUGUCUAUAAAGUGUCACAUCUUGGAUCGAUUUUAGUUUUUAUACCUGAGACCUCCUCCUGUAACUCAACACUGACCAUUUCUUAUGUAAUGAUGCGACACGAGAGUCCAGGUUGAACAGAAAAGCAGUUUGGAUACCUUUUUAUAACAUUUUUGCACAAAUUAAACAUUUUUUUCUACACAAUACUCAUCUACAUCUUUCCUUUUAAUAGUUGCAGAGUUUUAAUUAACCAAAUUUGUUUUGCAGACUUUGAUCAUGCUCCAGUCUGAGGCUAAAGUGUGCACUAAGACUGAUAAAACUGCCAAAUUUGAAAUAAAAAAGGCGCAAACCAAUUUAUUUUCUGUAUAUAGAAAGAUGCUGUUUUCAUCUGACUGGCUCGAGGACAGACUGACUCCACGAAAGUCUUGUUAAGUUUCGUUAACAAACUGAUUUCUAACUUUUCUUGCUUUAGGACUUGUCAGUAAUUAUGGAGAUAUCGAUUUAAACCAGGCACUGCUGAUAUGCUAAAUUUAGACACUUUCUGACAGUUUUUCUUGCUGAUAUACUUGUUGUAGAUGAUCAGAUGUUUCCAAAACAAUUGAUUUUCAACUAUGCUACUUUAUAAUUAUGAAUUCUGUGAAUAUUUAUAAUUUUCCAAUUUUUUUUUUAACGGUUUAAUGACAGGUUUAGUAUGCACUCAAUCCCAAAAAGCUCAACUUUUGUACUUCAUGAUGUUAGAAUCAGCUUUAAAAAGGUAGAAAGAGUUUAAUAAACUUUGUAAAACCACCUAAAAUGUCAGAAACAUGACCAAGGACAUGACCCACGUGUCCUCAGUGGGUAUGAAAACAAAGCUGCAUGUCUGAAAUGUCCCUGGUUCAUUUUUAGUUUCGCCUAAUUACCCUUAAUUUGAACUCACCUAAUUGAGGGGGAACAAACUGCUGGGUGUGUCCAGUUUUCUCAGGAAAGGACGCUCUUUACAAACAACCACUGGCCUGCUUGUUAAAGGAAAAAAAAACACGUCCGUGUUUGCCCUCUGUGUCUGCGUACAUGGAACUUAUUUAUGCUCGUUAUGUUUUUCCAUUGCGGUCUGAGGGAGGCUGUAGAGCUGCUGACCACCUGCCAAAUGUGUGCCCUAGUUGCAGUUGGCAGCGCUCCUCAGGCUGCAGUCCAAUGUACACAGAGCACCUGUCAGGCCUGACAGCACAGCACUGCUUCGGUUCAUACCUGUGAGGAAAUAAACGCUGAUUUACACAAAGAUCUUCAGUGUGAACGACCAGCAGAGCUCUUGUGAUGAGAGAAGCUGCAAAGAGGUAAUGGUGAAAAAUUCAUACUGUAGACAGGAGGGCCAUAUUCACUGCAGAGGGUCCUACUUGAGGUGUUUUGCCCUCUGUCAAGUGACUCACCUUUGGAGUCAACCCCCAGUGGGCAGUCGAGGAACUGCAGUUUUUGGGACUUUAAAGUCCCUUUUUCCAAACUUUUUUUUCCUACUUAAAGUGUUCUCGGUGGUCUUAAGUUUUUAGGCCAAAUCGCAUCACCUGUGUCAUUUUCAAGGGCUUUUUCUUCUGCAGAGCUCCAGUUGCUCAUUAGCAAUUCACCUGAGUUGUGGGUGGAGACAGCACUGCUCUGCACACUUGCCUUCACGCCAACUUGCAGCCUGACAUUGCUUGUGCAGCUGAAGUGGCAGGCAACAUAGUAGCUAUUCAGCUCUUGGACACUAAUUUCUUUAGGGACAUGAUGUAAGCUAAUAUUAUAAUUAGCUUUUAUUGCAGUCCGCUAACGCACACGCUUGUUUCGCGAUUGUCCUCUCUACAUUUCGGAGUCUGGCCUGCACAGCGGGGCUCAGGGGGCGGAGCUUGGAUUUGUGAUGUAGGAAAUCUCACUGUUUCUGAUCCUGCCAUUUGGGUCUGCCAGAGAUUCACAGCGAUUUGGAUGCAGAAAUACUCAGAAAUACAAUUUCGCACUUAGUUUUCUCAUAUGUCCUGUAGCAUCAGAAAAAUGCCAUAUGAACAUGUAGACAACAAGAAAAACAUGAUUUUCAUCAGAGUGGGUCUUUAAUGAUAGCUUUAUUUCUCAGCCCUGGUGUCUGCAGCUUUAAACCCCCUCACUGUCUCACGUCUGUGUUUUCUUGUUGUUCCCUGCAGGUCUCCGCCGUCAUGUUUUAAACCUCUGAAGCUCUGAGCUGGUCGGAAACUCCUUUCAUCUGCCGCACAAUACAUUCAUGUGUGCCAUGAAAAUAACAUUAGCACAUCAAAGAGCUACAGUACAGUGUUAGAGAUGACCUGAGAGGCAACAUCAAUUUACAUUUACGACAAACAGCCUCCUUCAUGAGAUGUUGGCGAUAAUUUGUUAAGACACUCUCUGAAAAAAGGAAACCUAGAUAGAUUUUCUGUCUCUUACAAACACUGAUUUAAAUCAUUUUGCAGGUUUCAAUUAGAUUUAAUUCCCUUUUGCAGACAAUUUAAUCCAGUCAAUUACCUCAGCACUAAUCUUGUCUCAUUUCUCCGGGUCUCUUUGAGUCAUUCCCUCCUAAAAUAACUCUAGAAAACCACAGAGAAAAAGGUGUUUUUAUUUUCCAUUUGCUCUCUGGCUUAACUAUAUUUACUCUGAACCUCCACCUGGUAAUUUAAAAGGGCACAACCUCAGUGACCGCUCAUUUACAGUGACAUAAAGUUGCCCAGCAGCAGAGAAAAACAGACAUUUGAAGGCCCAGAUACUGUACACACACACACUGUUACAGUAAAACUAUAAUCCAAACACUGUCACAGCGGAGGAGACGGAGGUGGUUAACAAAUUCUUCAAACAUUACAUUUAAUUGAAAAUAGAGCAAAGACAACAUGAAUCAUCAGGGAUGCUGGCUUUGAACUGUGAGCUGGGUGGUCCCCGAGCAGAGGAUGCAGCAUCCAGGAUUUCCAAAAGGAAGAUCACAUUUUGAUUCAACAAGCCAGAUAGUCCCUCCUCUUCAUUAGCGAGGAGGAUACAGGAUCUGGUAAUUUUUGUUUAUAUCUGGUUUCCUUUUCAGAGUGAAAUCCAUGAUUUCCCACCAAAGAGAUGUCAAAUUUGGAUUUAUAAAAUGACAGGACAGUUUUCAACUUGUGGAUGCAUGAUGGACUGUGUUCUCAAUGUAGACUGUAUAUAUAAUGCACGCUGUCUGCCUCCUUGCUGGGGGAAGCCUCCCUGAGAACAGCACCCUCUGGUGACGGGCUGCAGUAUAGGUCAUAAAUCCCGCCUCCUCCAGCAAUGCCUAUGGAGCUGUGGACAAACUUAAGAAGUGUAUCACACCGAAUAUGAAUUUUUCUCCCCCCUGAGAUGUGGACAUGUAGUUACAGUAAGACCGGUUUGUGCUCAAGUCCUCUUUUUUUCUGUACAGCGCUGUUUUUAAAAGUUAUGAGAGGUUCGUGUUUUCCAUGAUUGACACUUGAUACAGCCUAUGGGCGUACAAAGAUAUGGGAUAUGCUGUUUGAGCCAAGUGUUGAGCACCGAGCCACAGCAACUCUCCCACCAAACGCGUACAACGCUACUGCGCAAUGUUGGUUUCAGGAAGUGGAGAAAAAUCCUGGAAAUACCGAAAGCUUUUUGGCUUCAGACCUAUAUACUGGCAGAAGGCGUAACCAAGUCUAUGGUUCACAAUCAUUGUGAUUUUGAUCCCAUGUGGGGAUCUCCACUCCAGAGUCCUAUCUGUUUUACAUAAAUACGGUACUGCCGCCUGAAGAUCAGGACCAUCUAGUCUUGGUUUUAGCUCUCGUCCCUUUAGUACAGAGAUUUUUCCAGACUCACUGAAUCUUUAUGUUUUGUAGAUGAUGAAAUUCACUCAUUCUUUGACCUUUGACACUCUUAACUCUCGCAGUUUCUCACAGAGUGGUGAGUUUCUAGACAGUUAGAGCUGGACUCAAAAGGACAUUGAAGAUAGCGCGUCAUGGCUCAGAUGAUCCUACAUACUUUCAUGUUUCAGAUCACAUCGGGAUACUCUGGUGUAACCGGCUUUCAUGCUGCUGCAGUAUACUUUUAUUUUUGAUGUUCUUUAUUCUCCAGCUGUCUGAGUGUCGAUCCCCACACAUUAUCACGUUCACACACAGAGUGGCGGUCUGUAACAGGCUGUUCUGCCCUCUGAAACGCACUGAAACCCUCAGGCAUCGACUCCUCUUCAACAACAAGCUCAGUCGUCACCAGGGUGGAACUUUUUUUUCAGGACAUAUUUUCUUCAUGGGAUGGGCACCGGGAUAAAAAUAGCCUUACUUACCAAUGAAAGGCGUGUUUGUGCCAACCGUCGCCUGCCACCCACCAGCAGAAGUCCUCAGCACCUGCUCGGCCCUCCAGUUUGUGAGAGCGUCGCAUGGUUACCAGCAUUCCCAUUGUCAGGAGGGGCGGGUUGCUUUCUAACAAACAGAGCAUUGUCGUGUUUCCUCUGAUUUUAAAAAGCAGAUAAAUCACGCAUGACUCCUGUUAGCUUUUAUGUGUGAUCAGCAGUUUUCUAGAAAUACUUUCUUCUUAUACUACGGACAAAAUAAGACCAAAGGGUUGACAUUUAGAGGACGUCUACCUGGCUCAUAAUCACUGGGUUUUGUAACUCGGGUUUCUGUUUGUUGUGCUUGCGGGAUUGUUUGUGUUUUGCAUCCCACAUUUGGUUUAUUGUAUGCUUCAGAAAAGUUCAGUCAAAAUAUAAAAGAGGCUGGUUAAAGUGAAGUAGACAAGUCAUUUCUCCUGCUUCAGUUUUUUGGCAACUUUGCUGUAACUUUUAAACUUUUUAUGACAGACAUCUAUGACAUCUAAGACAACUAUGUUUAAAUAUUUCCAUCUUAACCACAUCAAACACAGUCAGGGUAGCGUUAUGGUUAUUUCUGAGUGCAUUUAAAAAGCCAAGUGAAACUAAAACUCUCCUUUUCUGUCCUAGAAAUCAGAAAACUUAAAAGGUGAACUUUGUAAUGUUGCUUGGAGCAAAUACCUAGAAAACACAGGUCAAUAAUCUGUGACUAAUGGAGAACUCCACUUCUACUUCUUCUUCUUGGAGGGAAAAUUUGAGAGUAUUUGUGUUGGACUCAGGUUGAAUAUCAUGCAGCUGACUGAUAUUUUCCACUUGUUUUAAAACUAAAUAUCUGCUGAAGAUUGAGAACCGUGUGUUUCUGCCUUCUGGACAUUUCUCAGCGGACCAUCAGAAGCUAAUCAACAUUGUUUAAGCAAAAAAUACUGAAAAAAUGUGCAUGUUCACCGGAUAUUGAGACAAAUCUUAGUCAUCUGAAAGGGGUUCAGUUUGGCAUUAAUUACCUCCAGAUGUGUUUCCUCGUGUUCAGCCUUUAGAUUUACCUCGAGAGCUGGUGUUGCUCCUCUGAAACCUCAAAGAGAAGAAGAAGAAGAGGAGGACAAACAGACAGACAGAGGAGCUUUUCUCUGUCUGCUUUGAUGAGGAUUUCUCUGUCAGACAGAAGAGUCAGACGACCUUCUCUCUGGUGUACCAACAAGAUCAGAAGCAGCAGUGACACAGAAAGAUCUGAUACAGACACACAGAGCAGUGUGUGUGUGAGCGUGUGUGUUUGGAAACCUUUAUUUAACCCCGCUGUGUCUAACGGGACGUUUCCAUGCUUUGUUUGUGCAGCAGGCUCCCAGUGGUGGGGGUUCUCACAAGGGGGAUAAAAAGGGCAACCAUGGAGCAUCUUAUUAAAGGGUGCUUCUUAUAUCUUAAAUCCCUCUUCAUGUUUUUUUUUUUUACAGGCUAAAAGGUCCAAAUGACUAAUGAGUACAAAAAGACCUGGAUUAGCUCCAGUGGAUUUCCUCGGCCCGCUGCAGUGAAACUGACAGUAAUGGCUUCAAUUCAAUUCAAAGUCAAAAAACAUCUUCAGCUCUUGCUAACAAACACAGAUUGUUGGUUUAAUUGUUUUUAAACAUGAUUACUCAUGGCAUUUGCUGAACUUUUAACCUUUUUAAAAAAUUAAAAACAAGUUUUAAAAAAAAAGCUUCACAUGUAUUUUCUUCUACAAAAGACGACCUUUCCGCCUAUUUUACAGUUAUUAAAACUAAAGGCCCCUCCACCAUUAACAAUUUAUCACAAACUGUAGUUCUAACUCUUUACUUUAGUCAUUUAAAGUCUGUGUUUUUUUUAUCAAGUCAAGACUUUAUCAUGAUACUGACCCAUUUCACUGUUUAGCCUGGAUUCUUAGCUUUGACUUGUGCACGCUGCAACCUCUGUCUCGUUGAGCUCACUCUGUCCCUUUGCUUUUCAGACUUUCCUUUCUCCACUUGUGGCAUUGUCGAAUUUUUGUGAUUGUGAGGAGCCAUAGUUGUGGUUGAAAUUAAAAUCAGUUAAUUUCCCAGCUCUAUUAGACAGAAAGACCUUUAGAUUUAGAUGGAGGUACAGUUUUAAGGACUGUGUCAAUUAGGUUUUUUGGCUUUAGCAGCAUCUAUUUUCCAUUCAAACCAACGCAGCCAACCAAACUCACUUGACUCCCCGUCAAAAAUAGUUCAACUUUAGAAACUCUUUCGUACUCAAAGUUGUACAUUUUUAAUUAACAACCAGUCAGACUCAUGGAAAACAUCUUUGUCAACAACAAUGACGUAGGCCCGUGACAGAGAAAGUAAAGGUUUUAUAGCUGCUGCUGUUACACGAUUUUUACCAACUGGUUUCAGGUUUUCUUUGUUGUUGUUGAAUGAAAGCAAAUAUUAGACAUACAAAGCACAUCGCUGUGGUAGAAGAGUCCUGCAGCAGUAGACCCUGAACUGUUGAUAGAUUCUGAGUUUGCAGCAGGUUUCAUGGUUUACUUAAUGAUUUGUUAAAGUGGAAGACCAAUGUCGGCACUAAGAGGAAAAAUCUCCAAUAAGAACCUUCUUUGUGUAUUAGCACUACAAAUCCUGAACAGGUUAUGAACAGCAGCAGCCUGUUUAUGUGUUUUUCCCCAGUGUGUUGUGUGUUUUGUACCUCAGUGGGUUGUGUUAUUGAUCUGACAGCCUCUGAGGGAGAAAACGCAGUAACCAACCAGUAAAGGGCUUCAGAGUGAUGCUGCGGUUCGUGACAUGAUUAAUGACCAUUUAGAUUGAAAGCAAGACCAUGAACCGCCCCGGGCGCAUACAUACAUGUUCAUGAGCACACACAUGAACACACUUUGAGGCUGAGUGUGAUUGCAGGUAGGCAGCGGAGCGUUGAGGAGGGGGUCCUCCUUGUUUUCUGCAGCCUUUCACUUCAUGAUCUCGGUCUGAGGGAGGGAGGAGAUCAUCAGCACAGAAUGGCGCCGCACGGCUCUGCAGCAGUCAGAGUCAAUUUACCACAAGAGCUCACAACAAAUUGUGCAAAUCUCAGAUAAAUUGGCCUCAUUCCAGAUGACGUUUUGAAUGCAUGGAUACCUGCAGACGCUUGCGCUCUCAGAAUGCUGAUUAUGUUGCGCACAGGGGUGUUUAUGAAUGAAAAUACAAUCCAUACACAAACAGGCUUGUUUGCUCUCACCGUGUUUGUUCAGUGUUAUAACCUCUGCUGGACGGCUGGUUCACCGUCCUGUUUGUUAGUUUGUUUGCGAGGAUUUUAGAGGAGUUUCUGAACUGUUGACAGCUUUUAAUAAAGUUUUAAGCAAAGUUUUAUGAUGCACAGAGUCAACAAAGGGCAAAUUCAGGUGUGUUUAAAGGGAUUCAAGGAGACAAUUUGACCUUUUUUUACUUAACGUCUUGACCUGAGCUGGGGUCUAAAUUUUCUCUCCAGUACAUUUGAUUGUUGUUUGACUGUUGUUUGAAUGUGUCAAAUGAAGUCUUGAUGGUGUACUUGAUGUUGGUGUUCCUCAGGGCUCUAUUCUCAGUCCUCUUACAGACUGCUUUGGUUGUAUGAAUGUAGACAGUUAUUUUGAAGUUGUCUGUUGAUGCUUUGGACACACUUUGGCAAAGCUAUCACAUAUUUGUAAGCAGAUUGAUUUGCUAGUUUGAUGAAUUUAGAUCUCAGAUCCACCAAUUUUUUUUUACAGUGUUCUUUACAUUUACACCAAAAGUGCAGGACUUUUUUUUACCGUUGGCUUAACUGAUAGAUAAACUUAAUGCACUCCCAGAAGUAUUUUUUUGGCCUACAAAAUUUCUACCUAUCUGAAUUACUUAGAUUAAAAAAAAAAAAACAGGCCAAUAAACUUAACAUGCUGCAUAUUUGUCAGUUAAGUGUAAAUGAAACAUUUAAAAUUUAGAUUUAUCAAAUAAUACAGAUAAACCCAAUAAGUUUACAAUAAAAAAAUGAAGAUUUAUGUAUUCAUCACUAACUCCAAUUUGUUUCUGUUUCAUAAAUUUUAACCUAUAUUCACACGUUUCAACUGAUUUAAUUGAAUUGUUUUCAGAAUAACAUUUAUGCUGAUUUUAGAAAAUUUAUUCAAAUUAAUUCUAAUAAUAAUAGUUUAAAUAAAGUCAAAUAUAUGUAAAUACAAAAAAUAAACUGUGUUUAUUUUUCUGAGUGCGGAACAACAAAAACAGUCACCAAGACAUACAAAAGUAGUGAAAGUUGAGGUUUCUCUUCAAUGGACUACCAUCUCUACAGUACUUUAUCGCAUGCAUGUGAGAAAAUCGGGGGUAUCAUUAGAUACAGACUGGAUGUUUUCAGAAAGUUAUUUCUCACAAUAAAUCAAAGUUUUAUCAAUAUGAUUUACCAUUUAACCCAGAUAAAUUCCAUAAGUGUAUAUAUAUGAAAUGUGUUUUUUUUUUCAACUCUGCUUCCAGUUUUGUCUUUGCUAUUUCAAAUUAAAUAGUGGACUUCAAAAACUUAGAACUUCAAUUAAAAGAUUACUUAAAAUUGUUUAACUGAGUCAAAUAAAAAUGAGAUGAUGUAUUUUAAAGGACUGCAGCCUGUUGGACCAGCUGGUAUCUUGAAGUCUGUUUUCACACACACUGUUCUCACUCUUAGCUGUUGGACAAACUGCCUCCUUAAGACAACACUGAGGUCCGCUCACACACGCCCACACUCACUUUUCAGGGAAAUACUGCCCAGGCACGUUGGUCUUUUUUAGGACGGUUAUCUGAAAGACUUUACAUAAUCGAGCUGCCAAUAAAAGGCGCGUCUGUGUUUCUAACAGAGGCAUGAUGGGUAAUGUUAAUAUACUUAUCUAUUAAGUCCAUAAAUUUGACUGUGAGGGCUGUAAUGGAAUUAGAAAAACAAACAGAGAGCAGGAAGUGAGACGCUUCACUGCUGUUAAUCAUCUGAAUGUCCGGUUCAUCGUUGUGGUGAUGGCAUGCAACAGUGAUCAGUUAAUGUGGUCAAUAAUUUACUGAUUUAUGGGUCUGCCAACGGUCACACUUCUGCACAUUGUGUCAACAGCACGCUUGAACAAAUGAAGAUUUCAUGGAGGCUAAGAUUUUACUCAUCAAUGUUUUUUUACUUGUGACUAGAGAGACCAAUUAAUCAUGUUUGAAAUAAGAACAAUACAAAAGAAAAUGACAGAACAGCCACCAUAUUGUUUUAAAGUGAUUUUAAAACUGUUUAAUACAAGUUUAUGCCAAAUCUUCAUGUAGUUAAUAUAAUUUUUAACAACAGUUCAGAACUUUGCUUCAUACAAUUAAUCAUGAAUUUUUAUUUUGAAAUACAGUUUACAUUACGGUGACCAUACGUCCUCUUUUACCCGGAUAUAUCCUCUAUUUUAAAAGUUUAUAAAAUCCGUCAAAUGUCUGUGGUUUUGUACUUAAGUUUCAACUUUAUGUCAUGUGGACUUACUGAGUUGGAAGCGCGUAAAAGAUACCCGAUCCGACCCAAAAAAUUCUUAAAAUUAACUUAGUGCGACUCCGUGACUCUGUCCCUGUGUAGUCGUGUCAGAAUAGUCAGAAGUCAGAAUAUGGUCACCCUAAUUUACAUUGUUUUUAUACACACUUUAACUUUCUUAAUUACUUUGUAUUAAAAACAUUUUCUUAUGAGCAGUAGCUUACCUUGCGAGCCCCUCAGUAUCCAUUGGGGCUAAAACACUUUUAACUGACAUCAAUUAAGAAAUACUGAAAUACCCCUUUAAAACCUGGAAAUGCAGGAAUCUAAACAGUAAAAAACUUACAAAAUAAUACAAGAUUCUUCAGUGGAGUCUGGUGAACUAAUUAUUGUAACCUUUAAAUAUAUUUUAAGAUGCUUUUCAAAGCCUUUUUAAGCAUUUUUACUAAGAUUCCCAUAGCAACUAUUAUAAGAAAUCAUCCGGAUGUGUUUUAAGGUCUCCUCAGACUUGGGGGUACCCUAACUUAUGAUUUAGCGUCUGUUUUCAGGAACCCUGUCCAUCUUAUUAAUGAAAGCCUUUUUUAAGUGAAACCCUACAUCUCCUAAGAGUUUUUCAGUUUAAGUUGAAAUGGGAAAUAAACAAAACUUACACAGUUUUAGUUAGAUCUCUAUCUGGUUCGAUUUGCUUGCUGAGAUUGAACAUAAGAUUCAGGUGUGCAGCAGUCACUAAGAAUGUUUUGUAUGCAGGCAGAGUUCAGGUCUGUCUGUUUAAGUCCCAGAGCAUCCUGAGAUGUGAUGAGCAGCUCUGAUAACAGAAGAUGAAGUGACACGCUCGCUCUUUAGAUAAAAUCACGUCUGAAAGCAGCAGAGGAGCGACAGUCCUGUCCCGCAGAUAAUCAGCUGGGACUGGAGGAGUCUGAUCGCACGCAGAGAUCAGUUUGUUAUGAUGAAUAAUUUAAUACACUGUCUGAUGCUCUUGUUACAGUUAUUAAUAAGGUAAAUACUUGACAGCAGUGUUCAGGGUUUAUCGACUGAACGGUGCCAUGGAUCAACUGAGCAACUCCCUAAAGCUCAAAUAAAAUGUAUUCAGAAGCAAAGUCAGUGACACAAAGAUAUCUACUUUGGAUAAAAUAGAGACACAAAGAGGCAACUUUUAGCCACUUUUUUAGGUACUUCAUAUUAUGUAUUUACAUCGUGUGACAUUGACAGUGUGAUCAUCUUUUUUCAGAGGAAGGGGGCCACAUGAUGCAGGAGGCUGAGAGAUGGGGAGAUUUUGGCGGCGUGACAGUGGGAGGCUUUUCAGCGUCGGUCAUCCAAGCGGCUGUAUUGUUGUCCCUGCAGAGAGAGGAGCGACAGGAAUGAUCGGCUGCCGCUGGUGGAGGUUCAGGGGGGGUGAAGGGGGGUCUAUACUUAGAGGACUGACUGUAGCUGCACCUGUCCCCCUCCCAUUAAGCCCCAAAUGGACCACACAGCCUAGAAGAGAAAAAAAAAAGAAACUGCUGAGGCUGGAACCACAAAUCCUGUUAUGGAGCGAUGAGGACAUGGCUGCUGACGAGGCUGCAUUUGUCAUAAAAAUGUGGUGCAUGCCUGUUUAUUGACGAUUACAUUCCUGGAUGAUAUUUAUUAUAAUAGAAGCAGCAUGUUCAGCUGUGAAAGAGUGUAACUCACAUUUGGGUCAAUGUUAUAGCCAGGUAACACAGAGGAAUCAGCGCAGAAUAUCUCCAUCUAUAAUUUUUAUUAACAUUCAACCGUUAACUUCAGUUCGAGCAGUUUUUCCUUUUGACUUGCUGCGUAAUUUCACUUAUUUUAACUUUCCCG